AUUGAACGCUAGCGGGAUGCUUUACACAUGCAAGUCGAACGAGUGGCGGACGGGUGAGUAAUAUAUCGGAACGUGCCCAGUAGAGGGGGAUAACUACUCUAAAGCGUGGCUACUACCGCAUAAUAUUGGUGCGGCCGAUAUCGGAUUAGCUAGUUGGUGGGGUAAAGGCUCACCAAGGCAACGAUCCGUAGCUGGCCUGAGAGGACGACCAGCCACACUGGGACUGAGACACGGCCCAGACUCCUACGGGAGGCAGCAGUGGGGAAUUUUGGACAAUGGGCGAAACUCUGAUCCAGCAAUCCCGCGUGUAUGAGAAGGCUUUCGGGUCGUAAAGUACUUUUGUCAGAGAAGCGGUAUCUGCAGAAUAAGCACCGGCUAACUACGUGCCAGCAGCCGCGGUAAUUC
rnacentral:rRNA from 1 species